rnacentral:tRNA from 1 species
GCGGAAGUGGCGGAACUGGCAGACGCACCAUCUUGAGGGGGUGGCGCCGUAAGGCGUGUGGGUUCGAAUCCCACCUUCCGCACCA